rnacentral:rRNA from 1 species
GAUGAACGCUGGCGGCGUGCUUAACACAUGCAAGUCGAACGGAAAGGCUCCUGCUUGCAGGGGUACUCGAGUGGCGAACGGGUGAGUAACACGUGGGUGAUCUGCCCUGCACUUCGGGAUAAGCCUGGGAAACUGGGCCUAAUACCGGAUAGGACGAUGGGUUGGAUGCCAUUGUGGAAAGUUUUUCGGUGUGGGCUGAGCUCGCGGCCUAUCAGCUUGUUGGGGGGGUAAUGGCCUACCAAGGCGUCGACGGGUAGCCGGCCGGGGAGGGUGUACGGCCACAUUGGGACUGCGGUACGCCCCAGACUCCUACGGGAGGCAGCAGUGGGGAAUAUUGCACAAUGGGCGCAAGCCUGAUGCAGCGACGCCGCGUGGGGGAUGACGGCCUUCGGGUUGUAAACUCCUUUCGCUAGGGACGAAGCGCUAGUGACGGUACCUGGAGAAGAAGCACCGGCUAACUACGUG